rnacentral:pre_miRNA from 1 species
AGUUAAAAUUUUUGUCUAUUUCUAUCAUAAAAAAAUAUGGUUGACAAAAUAAUCAAAUAGUUACACAUAACGUCUUACGUAUAUCUCACGUCGAUGUACAGGGAUUAGUUUUUAAAAAUAGAAUUAAAUGAAAAUUUUAAUA